UUAAGGGGUGCCUAAACUUGUCUGCACUUGCAGCACAGAGGCUGAGAUCAUACCCAAGAACCUGAUCCGGAUAAUGCCGGCGUAGGAAUAGGAA
rnacentral:ncRNA from 1 species